rnacentral:rRNA from 1 species
AAUAGAUACCCGGGUAGUCCACGCCGUAAACGAUGAGUGCUAAGUGUUAGAGGGUUUCCGCCCUUUAGUGCUGCAGCUAACGCAUUAAGCACUCCGCCUGGGGAGUACGGCCGCAAGGCUGAAACUCAAAGGAAUUGACGGGGGCCCGCACAAGCGGUGGAGCAUGUGGUUUAAUUCGAAGCAACGCGAAGAACCUUACCAGGUCUUGACAUCCUCUGACAACCCUAGAGAUAGGGCUUUCCCCUUCGGGGGACAGAGUGACAGAUGGUGCAUGGUUGUCGUCAGCUCGUGUCGUGAGAUGUUGGGUUAAGUCCCGCAACGAGCGCAACCCUUGAUCUUAGUUGCCAGCAUUCAGUUGGGCACUCUAAGGUGACUGCCGGUGACAAACCGGAGGAAGGUGGGGAUGACGUCAAAUCAUCAUGCCCCUUAUGACCUGGGCUACACACGUGCUACAAUGGAUGGUACAAAGGGCUGCAAACCUGCGAAGGUAAGCGAAUCCCAUAAAGCCAUUCUCAGUUCGGAUUGC